UCAAAAGCAUUGAUUUUAUUAUUGACUUUGGUACAAUUUAUAGGGUUACAAAUUGUACAAUUACUUAACAAACAAGCUAACUAACUCUAACUGACACAGUUAGUUAGCAACUAACCAACAAUACACAAAGUAGUUAUAACUAACUUUUACAACUAACUAACAUCAAAAUACUAACUUGUAAGGCAAGUAACAAACACAAUACAAACAGUGAAGACAAAUGUGGUGACAGAUGCUCCAACAU
rnacentral:lncRNA from 1 species